rnacentral:lncRNA from 1 species
GCAUGAAGUUGAUAUUUCAUUAAUAUUAACUGUUCACAAAAAAUUAGAAUUUUUACAGAAAGUUCUACAGUUAAAGGUAAGGGGGAGGUCAUCUUCAGGCUUAUUCAUCGUCAUCAUCACCAUCUGAAGAGUCUAGAAGAGGUGGAUCUACCUUGGCCCGAUCUUUUUCUUGCCUUUACUUCGGCAGAUUUCAUAUCCUUUGGCAUACAUAUGGACGAUCUCAUCGUUCAGCUCGGCGGAUUUUCUGUAUGCUGCCUGAAUUUCUUUACGAAGGUCUUCAGUUAGUGGCGAACCCAAAUUCUUAAGGGCCCGAAGCUCUUUGAGCUCUUCUUCAAACUUCUGACGAUGUGCCAGAUGCUUUGAUUCUUUAGCUUGGGUAUCGUUAUUUUGCUUUGACAAGCUUGAGUUAGAUUGGGCCAGCUCUUUAUUCUUCUUUGUUAAAAUUUCAUUCUUCUGAAGCAGAUCGACAUUUAUAUCGAUGAUUACCCGACUUCAGAAUGGCGUCCUCCCUUCAGUCGGCAUCUUCAGUCGGCGUCCUCUUCGGCUUCUUUGUAUUUGGGACGGAGGCAUCCGAAGAUAGCGUUUGCCUGCAGAUGACCGUUAUUAGUCAAUCAGUUCGAAUUGAUGGGCAGCGAUGUGAAUGGAUAACGUCAAAAUAUCAAAUUCCUUUAGUCCGGUAUUUCAUUCCUUCGUCCAUCAGGUCUAUGAUGGAACUAUUGCCGGACCGAUGAUCAUCGGUAUCACAAACGUAUGCUAUUGCUGAACCGGUAUUUCAUUCUGUGGCUUGAGCUUCGGUAGUUGAAAGUUCUUCAAUUGGUACUUCUGUAGAGGUCGGGGAAGAUGAAUCCUUUAUGUUGCUAUUUGAUGUUCAUCAGAUGGGCUUCGGUAAGCUCUAUUUUGGGCCUUUAUUGACCUUAUUAUAAAUCCUUUUGUCCUGGACCGAUGCCAUUUAUACUCUUUUCCGAUGUUAUUUAUACUCUUUCAUUAAACAUCCUGUUUAAUAAAAGACUGGGAGGCAAUAUUGGGUCAUGAUAUUUCACAUAUUGGGCUGAAGGUAUUGGACCUACUUAUUCAGUUAGUCCAUUGGGUCAUCAUUAUUGGAUCCUAAAGUUAUUGAGCUUAGUCAUUAUAUUACCUUUGUUAAGUCUUUAUAAUAUCGGGUCGGGUCAAAUGAGUUGACCUCUUAGAUAUUAAAUAUCCCCAUCUUUGACCGGUAAUGAUGAAAAAGCAUGAUGGUUGACUAUUAUAUCUGUCAUGCAUUAAUGUGGAUGGGAUCCUUGGACGCCAGGUAGAAAACAGUGACCACGGGUAGUGGGUGGGCUGUGUGCAGUCGACAGGAACCAUCAGGAUCAAAGGGCUGUGUCAGACAGUAGUUGGUGGCACAGUAUACCGGGUUAGAGAUCAGUAUAACAUAGCAAGGAAGUCUUCAAGCAAAAGGUACGUACACACACAUUAACGACGGAUAAUUCUCUCUACACUAGAUAUUAUUAUCCUCCAUUGUUAACCCUUGUGAACACCGAUGCUGACUCUCACGCCUGAGCUAUCCCCCUGACAGUCGAAGCCGUCAAGCUUUUUGGUGUUGAUCGUGUUUACUGUGCAGGAUCAAGACGUCUUAAGUGAUUGGGACGUGGCAGAAGAUCUUGGCGUUAACACUAACUAUAAAGUACUAUCACAGUUAUUGUUUUCAAAAGACAAUCAAAAUCGUAUCAAUUUAAAAUUUUAGGGUUUCACAAAUAGACUCUAAAAAAUUAAAAAGUAUAUAUAUAUAUAUAUGCAUAUAUAUAUAGACGAACAUAUAGGGCGAGAAAAACUGCGUGAAUAUAGUAAUACUAGAGGCCGUUUGAAUGCCGAAUUCUGAGAAAGGUCUCCUGAGACUCCGUUUGUUUCAGUCCAUGAAAUGGAAGGGGAUAAACUAAAUCCUUAAUAACAGAAUUCCCCAACUAAAUUGUUUCAAAAAAAUCCCCAACUAAAUACAUAAGCUAAAUAGAAAUAUAUUUACGUAUGUAUGUAUGUAUGUAUAUAGAGAUAUAGAGAGAGGGGAAAGUAGUAACAUACGAGACGACGGAUUUUUCUGGCAGGGGAAGAAAGAGAGAAAUCAGAGAAGUCAUCAUUCACUUCUUCCAACUCCUUUCUCUUCAUCUUUGAAGCCAUCAUCAUCAUCAUCAACAAACAAUCCCUUCCAAGACCUAAAAACCAAAUAACUACUCCUUUCUUUCUUGAUCCAAUUGAUGAAAGCUAGCUUUUUUGUAUUCAGUAGAGUAGAAAUUGAGUGAAUCGAAUUAUUCUGAGCUUCUGUAUUUCUAUUACGAUUAGUAUUGAGGAAGAAGAUUAUAUGCUAUGGCGGGUGAAUGUAAGAGAAAGUUCUUUCGCACUCUGGAUCUCUCCAGAAGGAGGAGAGAGAGAAAUUUACGUUACAGUAUUUUUAUAAUAAAUUACAAGGU